UUCACAACGGGUAUCCGCUCCAGGCGCCGUAGCUGGCAAACGGAGGGGGCCCCAGUUUACGGGAAAGGGGGGGAACAGGGGACCGUCAGUGGAAACUGAGUCUGGCUUUUAGGAUUUUAGGGUUCAUACGCGGCCAAGACCACACAUAUAAACAACAGAGCUAAAUGUUUCUGACAGGUUCAAGAGAAGGGGAGGAGGGUAAUGAAGAUGCAAAUAAAUAAAACACAGUUCCUAACAUAGAUACGGAUACAUUCUGAAAUCGGAUGGGGUGAAUGGAUUAGGGUGCCCCUCUCGCAGGGGAGAGCAGGGCCAACUGCCUUCAAGGGAAAGGGGGCCGCUGGUGUAGCUAUACCACCCUGUAACAACAUACAUACAUACUUACUAGUGGUGUGCUGGAAGGGCUGAGGCAGCGGGCAUUCAAGGCAUGCAGGCAGACAGACGAAUAGGCAGAGAGAGAUAAACAGGCAGGGAAGCACACAGACAGACACAGUCAGACAGACAGGCAAACAGAUAGAAACAGACAGACAGACAGAUAAACAGAGAGACAGACGUACAGUCACACAGAGAGACAAACGUAAAGACAGAUAUGCAGACAGAAACAGACAGACAGAUGGGCAGGGAGAGACAUACAUACAGGCAAACAUACAGAAAGGCAGAUGUGCAGCCAAACAAACAGACAGGCAGACACGGUGCGGUUUAUAAUUAGGGCCGGAGCAAGUACCGCAGGAAGGCUGCAGAGGGAGAAGAGGAAGGCGAGGAGGAUUACUAGAACGAGGGCGCGGCGGUAACCCCAAGGUCACGAAAGGGCAAUUCUUGCCACGAAAGGACAGCAGUGCUGUGACCGAUACUGAUGCGAAGAGGGGCUAGGAGUGCUUAAUGCCUAGUGACACAAUGUGGUACAGCAGUGUGGUACAACCGUGUCGUAUAACAGUUUGAUACAACGGUUUGGUACAACAGUUUGGUACGACAGUUUGGUACAACAAUUUGGUACAACAGUGUGGUACAAGAGUGUGGUACAACAAUUUGGUACAACAAUUUGGUACAACAGUGUGGUACAAGAGUGUGGUACAGCAAUGUGGUAGAACAAUGUGGUACAACAGUGUGGUGCAGCAGUGUGGAUGAAGAUGACCGCUCGUGAGCAUACGAAACGAAGGGGGAGCAGCUUGCUUGCAUGUCAACAGCAAUUACAAUCUAUAUGCGCCCGGCGUUGCCCGGCAUCCCACUAACCACUCUGGGAACGGGCCCCCCUGAUAAAAAAGAAAGAUAAAAAGUCAGUACUUACCUCAAAUUUGUCUUGAUAGGGUCGCCAAUAAGGGUGUAGAUAUCUUCUGGACAAUGCUGAAGUGUAGAUUAUUACGUCAUAGGGUCGUAAACUUUUAUCAAUUACAGCAUAUAUAUCUUGAAUUGCCUAGGACUUACGCGCAUCGCAACAUCAUCAAUCCAGCAAUCCACCUCUUAAGCAGAACAGAAGAAGAAAGGAACAACACGAUUCAUUCAGGAAGCCGUAAACCUGCCAUAGUAUUUAGCGUCCAGCUGCAAAGGCCUGCGGUUCCCGAUACUGCCUAAAGCCACUAAAGCCACGGCCCAACAUAUUCGCAAAACCUGCCAUGUCAACACAGUAAUCAACCUGCCUGCAAAAGUGCGCGCAAGACCAUAAACCCUUGUAGAAACGAAACUCAUGCAAUUGCAACCGGCUGCGCAAAAUCAUUCAUUUAUUCGUUUCCCUGAUCGUCGAUAUGCCCGGAAAAGGGCUUGGUGGUCAAUCAGUCAUUUCAUCGCACUACCCAGCGGCAUGGCGCAGUCUGAAGCGAAGCGCGACUUAAUCACAUCGAAAACGAGCGAGCAAAACGAGCAAACCGACAAUAAAACCACAAACAAUAAUGAAGGAAAGCCGAAAAAACAAAGGCCGUCAUUCUACGAGCGAUGCUUAUUGUCCUGUAUCACGUAGUCGGUCGCACCAGGGUAGGCAAUCGGCAAACGUAACGGGCACUUGGCCUGCUGCAGAUGCCGCUCGUAACGCUUACUAGACGAAGGUGGCUGGGCAGCACUUGUUGUCACCAGAGUAUAUGUUCACCUGCAUGUAUGUAUGCAUGUAUGUAAUGUGGCGUCAGGCCCAAACAAGACGGGGGCCCCGGACUUGCAUGUGUGCAUGUGACGAGCUCCAAGUACGUGCCACGGCAUUUGUAGACUGCAAUGAGCACAUGCUUUAUCGAUG
rnacentral:lncRNA from 1 species